GGCGCACGGGUGCGUAACACGUAUGCAACCUACCUUACAUUGGGGGAUGGCCUUUCGAAAGGGAGAUUAAUACCGCAUAAGACAGUAACUAGGCAUCUAGUAGCUGUUAAAGAUUUAUCGAUGUAAGCUGGGCAUGCGACCAAUUAGCUAGUUGGUGAGGUAAUGGCUCACCAAGGCUAUGAUUGGUAGGGGAACUGAGAGGUCAAUCCCCCACACUGGCACUGAGAUACGGGCCAGACUCCUACGGGAGGCAGCAGUAGGGAAUAUUGGGCAAUGGACGCAAGUCUGACCCAGCCAUGCCGCGUGCAGGAUGAAGGCGUUUGCGUUGUAAACUGCUUUUAUACAGGAAGAAACGACUCUUGCGAGAGGCAUUGACGGUACUGUAUGAAUAAGCACCGGCUAACUCCGUGCCAGCAGCCGCGGUAAUACGGAGGGUGCAAGCGUUGUCCGGAUUUAUUGGGUUUAAAGGGUGCGCAGGUGGUUUAUUAAGUCAGUGGUGAAAGACGGUCGCUCAACGAUUGCAGUGCCAUUGAAACUGGUAGACUUGAGUAAAGUAGAGGUGGGCGGAAUUGAUAGUGUAGCGGUGAAAUGCAUAGAUAUUAUCAAGAACUCCAAUUGCGUAGGCAGCUCACUUGGCUUUUACUGACACUCAUGCACGAAAGUGUGGGUAUCAAACAGGAUUAGAUACCCUGGUAGUCCACACUGUAAACGAUGAUAACUAGGUGUCGGCCGAAUCUGGUCGGUGCCACAGCGAAAGCGUUAAGUUAUCCACCUGGGAGUACGCCGGCAACGGUGAAACUCAAAGGAAUUGACGGGGGUCCGCACAAG
rnacentral:rRNA from 1 species